GACAGAGGAUGCAAGCGUUAUCCGGAAUGAUUGGGCGUAAAGCGUCUGUAGGUGGCUUCUUAAGUCCGCUGUCAAAUCCCAGGGCUUAACCCUGGCCAGGCGGUGGAGACUACUAAGCUUGAGUACGGUAGGGGCAGAGGGAAUUUCCGGUGGAGCGGUGAAAUGCGUAGAGAUCGGAAAGAACACCAAGGGCGAAGGCACUCUGCUGGGCCGACACUGACACUGAGAGACGAGAGCUAGGGGAGCAAACAGG
rnacentral:rRNA from 1 species